AAUAGAUACCCGGGUAGUCCAUGCUGUAAACGAUGAGAACUAGAUGUUAGGGGGCAUGACCUCUUAGUAUCGAAGCUAACGCGAUAAGUUCUCCGCCUGGGGAGUACGGCCGCAAGGUUAAAACUCAAAGAAAUUGACGGGGGCCCGCACAAGCGGUGGAGCAUGUGGUUUAACUCGAUGCAACGCGAAGAACCUUACCUACCUUUGAAUCCACGGAACCUAGCAGAGAUGUUGGGGUGCCUUCGGGAACCGUGAGACAGGUGCUGCAUGGCUGUCGUCAGCUCGUGUCGUGAGAUGUUGGGUUAAGCCCCGUAACGAGCGCAACCCUUGUCCUUAGUUGCCAUCAGGUUAUGCUGGGCACUUUAAGGAGACUGCCGGUGAUAAACCGGAGGAAGGUGGGGAUGACGUCAAGUCCUCAUGGCCCUUACAGGUAGGGCUACACACGUGCUACAAUGGGCAGUACAGAGGGAAGCCAACCCGCGAGGGGGAGCGAAUCUCAUAAAGCUGUUCGUAGUCCGGAUUGGAGUCUGCAACUCGACUCC
rnacentral:rRNA from 1 species